rnacentral:rRNA from 1 species
UACAGAGGUCUCAAGCGUUGUUCGGAUUCAUUGGGCGUAAAGGGUGCGUAGGCGGCGCGGUAAGUCGGGUGUGAAAUCUCGGAGCUUAACUCCGAAACUGCAUUCGAUACUGCCGUGCUUGAGGACUGGAGAGGAGACUGGAAUUUACGGUGUAGCGGUGAAAUGCGUAGAUAUCGGGAGGAACACCAGUGGCGAAGGCGACUACCUGGCCUGUUCUUGACGCUGAGGCGCGAAAGCUGGGGGAGCAAACGGG